rnacentral:rRNA from 1 species
UCGUCACACUAUCAUUAACUGAAUCCAUAGGUUAAUGAGGCGAACCGGGGGAACUGAAACAUCUAAGUACCCCGAGGAAAAGAAAUCAACCGAGAUUCCCCCAGUAGCGGCGAGCGAACGGGGAGGAGCCCAGAGCCUGAAUCAGCAUGUGUGUUAGUGGAAGCGUCUGGAAAGGCGCGCGAUACAGGGUGACAGCCCCGUACACAAAAGCGCAUGUGCUGUGAGCUCGAUGAGUAGGGCGGGACACGUGGUAUCCUGUCUGAAUAUGGGGGGACCAUCCUCCAAGGCUAAAUACUCCUGACUGACCGAUAGUGAACCAGUACCGUGAGGGAAAGGCGAAAAGAACCCCGGCGAGGGGAGUGAAAAAGAACCUGAAACCGUGUACGUACAAGCAGUGGGAGCCCCACCACCAAAGCAUUUGCUGUACCGCGUUGACGGAGCGAAGCGACGUCAAACCGAUAAAACAGCAGUGUAAAGUGAGCCGCAGGGCGCUUUGCGCGACAGCGCAAAGGCAGGCGGUUUCGCGUAGCGAAAGCGAAUGCUUUGGGGUGGGGUGACUGCGUACCUUUUGUAUAAUGGGUCAGCGACUUAUAUUCUGUAGCAAGGUUAACCGAAUAGGGGAGCCGGAGGGAAACCGAGUCUUAAUUGGGCGUUAAGUUGCAGGGUAUAGACCCGAAACCCGGUGAUCUAGCCAUGGGCAGGUUGAAGGUUGGGUAACACUAACUGGAGGACCGAACCGACUAAUGUUGAAAAAUUAGCGGAUGACCUGUGGCUGGGGGUGAAAGGCCAAUCAAACCGGGAGAUAGCUGGUUCUCCCCGAAAGCUAUUUAGGUAGCGCCUCGUGAAUUCAUCUCCGGGGGUAGAGCACUGUUUCGGCUAGGGGGCCAUCCCGGCUUACCAACCCGAUGCAAACUGCGAAUACCGGAGAAUGUUAUCACGGGAGACACACGGCGGGUGCUAACGUCCGUCGUGAAGAGGGAAACAACCCAGACCGCCAGCUAAGGUCCCAAAGUCAUGGUUAAGUGGGAAACGAUGUGGGAAGGCCCAGACAGCCAGGAUGUUGGCUUAGAAGCAGCCAUCAUUUAAAGAAAGCGUAAUAGCUCACUGGUCGAGUCGGCCUGCGCGGAAGAUGUAACGGGGCUAAACCAUGCACCGAAGCUGCGGCAGCGACACUGUGUGUUGUUGGGUAGGGGAGCGUUCUGUAAGCCUGUGAAGGUGUGUCGUGAGGCAUGCUGGAGGUAUCAGAAGUGCGAAUGCUGACAUAAGUAACGAUAAAGCGGGUGAAAAGCCCGCUCGCCGGAAGACCAAGGGUUCCUGUCCAACGUUAAUCGGGGCAGGGUGAGUCGACCCCUAAGGCGAGGCCGAAAGGCGUAGUCGAUGGGAAACGGGUUAAUAUUCCCGUACUUGGUGUUACUGCGAAGGGGGGACGGAGAAGGCUAUGUUGGCCGGGCGACGGUUGUCCCGGUUUAAGCGUGUAGGUGUGUGUUCCAGGUAAAUCCGGUUCACUUUAACACUGAGGCGUGACGACGAGGCACUACGGUGCUGAAGCAACAAAUGCCCUGCUUCCAGGAAAAGCCUCUAAGCAUCAGGUAACAUCAAAUCGUACCCCAAACCGACACAGGUGGUCAGGUAGAGAAUACCAAGGCGCUUGAGAGAACUCGGGUGAAGGAACUAGGCAAAAUGGUGCCGUAACUUCGGGAGAAGGCACGCUGACACGUAGGUGAAGUGAUUUACUCAUGGAGCUGAAGUCAGUCGAAGAUACCAGCUGGCUGCAACUGUUUAUUAAAAACACAGCACUGUGCAAACACGAAAGUGGACGUAUACGGUGUGACGCCUGCCCGGUGCCGGAAGGUUAAUUGAUGGGGUCAGCGCAAGCGAAGCUCCUGAUCGAAGCCCCGGUAAACGGCGGCCGUAACUAUAACGGUCCUAAGGUAGCGAAAUUCCUUGUCGGGUAAGUUCCGACCUGCACGAAUGGCGUAAUGAUGGCCAGGCUGUCUCCACCCGAGACUCAGUGAAAUUGAACUCGCUGUGAAGAUGCAGUGUACCCGCGGCAAGACGGAAAGACCCCGUGAACCUUUACUAUAGCUUGACACUGAACAUUGAGCCUUGAUGUGUAGGAUAGGUGGGAGGCUUUGAAGUGUGGACGCCAGUCUGCAUGGAGCCGACCUUGAAAUACCACCCUUUAAUGUUUGAUGUUCUAACGUGGACCCGUUACCCGGGUUGCGGACAGUGUCUGGUGGGUAGUUUGACUGGGGCGGUCUCCUCCUAAAGAGUAACGGAGGAGCACGAAGGUUGGCUAAUCCUGGUCGGACAUCAGGAGGUUAGUGCAAUGGCAUAAGCCAGCUUGACUGCGAGCGUGACGGCGCGAGCAGGUGCGAAAGCAGGUCAUAGUGAUCCGGUGGUUCUGAAUGGAAGGGCCAUCGCUCAACGGAUAAAAGGUACUCCGGGGAUAACAGGCUGAUACCGCCCAAGAGUUCAUAUCGACGGCGGUGUUUGGCACCUCGAUGUCGGCUCAUCACAUCCUGGGGCUGAAGUAGGUCCCAAGGGUAUGGCUGUUCGCCAUUUAAAGUGGUACGCGAGCUGGGUUUAGAACGUCGUGAGACAGUUCGGUCCCUAUCUGCCGUGGGCGCUGGAGAACUGAGGGGGGCUGCUCCUAGUACGAGAGGACCGGAGUGGACGCAUCACUGGUGUUCGGGUUGUCAUGCCAAUGGCACUGCCCGGUAGCUAAAUGCGGAAGAGAUAAGUGCUGAAAGCAUCUAAGCACGAAACUUGCCCCGAG